rnacentral:misc_RNA from 1 species
UAGCUUUUUUAGCAAGAUUUGCUGUAAAAAAGAAGGAUAUUGUUGCUCCAUCUUCCAAUGAAAGAGAGAUGCAAUUGGUGAUAUUUCAAGGACAGACUGAAACUAGUAAUACAACACCCACAGAACAAGAGAGAGUUGAGCCUGAACCUCCAAUAAUAGAAGAUGUUGAAAACAAUGAUGAUUUUGAAUCAGUGCGCUUGAAUAGGACAACAUCGAGUGAGGAUAAUGAUAGUGAUGAUACUUAUAUUUAUGGCAUUGAGCAUGAUCCUGGAUUGAUGACUCCAAUCUCAAGCUAUUCUAUUAAUAACCAAGAUGCAGUUACAAGGGCCUAUAUUGCAUUGGGGCCAUGUCGACCAAAGAUGAAGAAGGAUGAUUUUCCCCAACAUGAAUGUGGAGGUAUGUGUCGCUUCCUACCAAAGUGGUUUUCCGAGUUUUGUAGGCUUGAGUAUAGUGUGGAUAAAGAUGUUGCAUAUUGUUUCGUUUGCUAUCUGUUCAAAGAUAACAACAAAUUCCCUGGUGGAGAUGCUUUCGUUAAUGAGGGGUUUAGAAAUUGGAAUGUUAAAGCUAGAUUGCUUAAGG